rnacentral:rRNA from 1 species
GACGAACCGUGCGAACGUUGUUCGGAAUCACUGGGCUUAAAGGGCGCGUAGGCGGCUCCGCCAGUCGGGGGUGAAAUCCACCGCCUAACGGUGGAAGGGCCUCCGAUACUGCGGGCUGGAGGGAGGUAGGGCAGCGGGAACUUCGGGUGGAGCGGUGAAAUGCGUUGAUAUCCGAAGGAACGCCGGUGGCGAAAGCGCGCUGCUGGCCUCUUCUGACGCUGAGGCGCGAAAGCCAGGGGA